ACACUCCUGUUGUAAAGCCCCUAUAUACAAGCAGCUAUUCAUAUCUAGGGGUUCUGAGAUGUCUGUGCUCAAUGUGUGGAUAUCAGAAGGUGGGACUAGGCCAGGCACAUGGCAGGAGCAAAGCCAGUAGCAUGGUCCCACUUCUGCUUCAACCAUGACUGCCCUAAACGUCCAGCCACUGACCUCAGAGAUCCUGAAGAUCACAGCCAUCGGUCUACAUUUGGGUUCAGAUGCCAAAAUCCCUGGGCUGGAUCCGACACCUUAAAGACUUGGGAGGGGGACCUCACAUGUCCUCUAAACCUGUAAUGGAAGGGUUGGCAAAAAAAAGAAGAAAGAAACCCAUGUACCAGAUUAAUCAAAUCAUGUCCUUUAAGUACUAACAUUAUCUGUGCUAAUUUUUUUCUGUGCUGUAUCAUUUUAAAAGCUAAUGAUGUUUAUAUCUGAGGUUGCCUUUCUACAGUGUGAAUAUUUGCUGUUGCUAAUGGAUGUCACGGAUAGGCAGCAGAUGGAGGGGGAGCAGAGGCUGAAUGCCCAAGUUGAUGUGUAGUUAUGGCAAUACAGCAUGUGAUGUGCACUAGUGAUUUCAAUGUGCAUUUUUUCAAAAGGGGAACAAGAUGCACAAAUAAGGCAUGAUGCACAACUGUGAAUAAUAAACUGCAUUCGAUGGGCAACCAUUUUUUUUUAUCUGCAUAGUGAAACUCUUGAUCCAUUUUUGUCAAUAUGCCCUGAAUAUGCAAAGCCAGCAUGCUGGAAAAUAUAAAUAUAUGCAGAAAAAAGGGGGUUGGUUUUCGAUAGCACUAGAAGCAAAAUAGCCCAACCCCCUAUUUCAUUAUCAGUCACGUGCAGAGCUGAUCUAUGGCAACUGUGUAUGGCAGAUCAUGAUGAUCCAAUAUCAGUUACGGGUCAGGUUCACCUGAAUCGUCUGUUUCCUGUAAGUCAACUUCAUAGGUUACUGAGAAAGCAGUAAAAUUAACAGGUAGGAGCAAUACUCCCCAUACCCCAACAAGAUUAAAAUCUCAGCCCCCCUUUGUCCUUCCUCCUCAAUCCCAGCCAACCAGUUUGCUAAUUCCUUAUCAUCCUGUUAUCCAUAAACCACAUAUAAAGAGAACAAUCCAUUUCUGAAAUACUGCAAUUUGGAUAGCAAUUCAAGCUCUCUCUCCAUUUCUAGAUCAGGGGAGACUAACGUUUGGUCCUCCUGCUAUCAGCCCCAUCAGCAUGGCCAAUAUUCAGAAUGAGUAAUACUCCAACAAUAUCUGGAAGGGGGGUGCUGGUUAGUCACCCCUGUUCAAGGUAUUACCAUUCUAGAUAUUUAAAUACAUCCUUUGAUUGUAUAAAAAAAGAAUUACAUCACCAUUCUGGCACAUAAAUGGGGCAUUUCUGAUUGGCAAAUUCCAGUUCCUUGUUUUUAUGUCCCUAGAUUCUACCAUUCUUGUCCAUAAUGCCAUUACUUUGAUUUGCUACAAUCCUCCCCUUUCACUUCCCCAGAAGAGAUAAGAGUAAAUAGAUUGAUUUAACUGUGCUCGGAGCUUUAGACUGCUACAGUGAGAUGCCACACGAUAAAAGAAAAAAGGCAAGGCGGGCAUCCCUGGAUGCAUUUUCAAAGAAACAUUCAAGGAGCCUCUAGAAGAUUCAAAAGUUUUGGUUUACUUAUGCAAGGCUUACUUGACUUGCUUAUUUUAUUUCAGACAUGUGUAUUGUUAGUUUUGAAUAAAAAAUUGGCUGAAACGUGAA